ACUAGUAUUGGAGGCACUGCCUGCCCAGUGACGACCGUUAAACGGCCGCGGUAUCCUGACCGUGCAAAGGUAGCAUAAUCACUUGUUCCCUAAAUAGGGACUUGUAUGAAUGGCCACACGAGGGUUUUACUGUCUCUUACUUCCAAUCAGUGAAAUUGACCUUCCCGUGAAGAGGCGGGAAUACAUUAAUAAGACGAGAAGACCCUAUGGAGCUUUAACUACUUGGCCCAAAAGAAAUAAAUUUCAUUGCUAAGGAAACAACAAUACUCUUUAUGGGCUAACAGCUUUGGUUGGGGUGACCUCGGAGAACAAAAAAUCCUCCGAGCGAUUUUAAAGACUAGACCUACAAGUCGAAUCACACAAUCGCUUAUUGAUCCAAAAAAUUGAUCAACGGAACAAGUUACCCUAGGGAUAACAGCGCAAUCCUAUUCAAGAGUCCAUAUCGACAAUAGGGUUUACGACCUCGAUGUUGGAUCAGGACAUCCCGAUGGUGCAACCGCUAUCAAAGGUUCGUUUGUUCAACGAUUAAAGUCCUACGUGAUCUGAGUUAA
rnacentral:rRNA from 1 species